AAAAAAAAUGUUUUAACGUUUUUAUAUCAUUUAGUCAUUUUUUGCAUGAAGGCGACGAAAUAUAAUUGCUCUAAUUAACUCACUAAUAAGCAUGUCUUAAUUGUUUACGGUUAUUUGAUUAUAUAUACGAGUGCACGAUUAUUAGAUUAAUUAUUUUGCUUGGCUUGAUAAUAAGUAAUUUAUUGCGGCCCACCGAGUUUCGCUCGGUAACUGGCUGCAAAAACACGGCGAUAGUUCGGAGAAUGAAAAUAUUUUCGGAUGAUUUCGAAAUGAUUAGGAUAUUUUCGAGUUUGUCACGCGCGCAGAGACUUUGCGUGUAAAACCUUAAGUUCGGCACGAAUAUCACUUAAUUACGAAUGAUUUAUUACGGCGACUGGAGAACGCGAGAAUCCUUUUAUUAUUAAACG